rnacentral:rRNA from 1 species
GUCGACCCCUAAGGCGAGGCCGAAAGGCGUAGUCGAUGGGAAACAGGUUAAUAUUCCUGUACUUGGUGUUACUGCGAAGGGGGGACGGAGAAGGCUAUGUUGGCCGGGCGACGGUUGUCCCGGUUUAAGCGUGUAGGCUGGUUUUCCAGGCAAAUCCGGAAAAUCAAGGCUGAGGCGUGAUGACGAGGCACUACGGUGCUGAAGCAACAAAUGCCCUGCUUCCAGGAAAAGCCUCUAAGCAUCAGGUAACAUCAAAUCGUACCCCAAACCGACACAGGUGGUCAGGUAGAGAAUACCAAGGCGCUUGAGAGAACUCGGGUGAAGGAACUAGGCAAAAUGGUGCCGUAACUUCGGGAGAAGG